GUCUGCCCCGUGUCUUGUUGUAGACCAGUGCCAGAUUUCACCAGCUCCCGCAGUUAUUUGCUCUCAUGUUAGGUGAUGCCGGGAAUGCAGUCAGGUGCUUGGCUGCCCAGCUGUCCCUGAUUGUCAACCUCCUUUGGGGUUGGGUGUGAUUAAAUGACGAAGUCCUCGUCCGUGAAAUUGGUAGAAAUGUGUCACUCCCGUAGCAAGGCUUUGCUACGGUAAAUAGAGGGCUCACAGACCCUUUCCCUGCUCUGUCUAGAAUCUGCAUCUAUGAGCCCAGCCCCUGGCCCUGACCGUGAUGAGGAUGCUCUCGGGAAUGACCGGGGAAUCUGUAAAGUACUCGUGUUCCUAAAAGGACCCACGAAACGGCAGUCUACCUGCUUAAAAUUCUCUGAGAUUAUCUUGGCGCUUCUGACUUUUUAGCGCACUCAAGGGCAAGGUUAAGAGGCGGAGUAACUGAGGGCGGAGAUCGGGGGAGACACGUCAUCACGUCAGCUAGAGCGCAGCUCACUUGGACUUCACAGCCGGGUGGCUCUAGAUGGUUUCUCCGCGUAAGACCUUCUCGGUACCUGCAACUGGUAAUUUACCUGGUAUCGACGGUACUCCUUUAACACAUGCUUCCUCUUCUCUGAUUUCUCCCUUGUAACGUCCUUAGGAUCUGAAGCCAUAUUUGGAGUGAAGUUAGUCUGGUGGCUCAUACUUUUAGGAAAUACAUGUGAACAAGAACUCAUUACUGAACCUGUGGCAGAGAAGAGGACAUGGAAGUAGGACUAUAAAGUAGGAUCGCAGUCUCUUUCCCGAUCAGAAGGGGAAAAAAAUGAAAGACUUCUUUUCUGAUAAAUACAAUUGUAAGAAAUGUAUAUUUUUUUCUCAUAAAUCUCUCUCAUGAUUUACAUAUGGUAUCUUUAUAGCAUUACUUAGAAUAUACACAUGGCCAUACUCCAAAUUAAGUAACUGUUUAUGGGAAUAAAAUUGAAAAUCAUAGGCUAAACAAGACUUCUAAUACAUUGAAAAUAAUAAAUAUGAUUUCAACUGCUAGUGUCACAAAAUUGUUAUUGCCUCUUUUCCAUAAGAAAUAAAGAUGUGUGAUUUGUUAUAUGGAAUGAGCUACAGAUACAGAGAAGUUUGCUACCAUGCACAUUUAAAUUCAGUCAUGUGCAAUGAGUAGAUACCAUACAUGCAUAUGUAUACACGUUUAUGUGUGUAUAUACACAUGUAUAUGUACAUAUGUAAAAGCAUGUAUAAGGUCAUGUAUGUUUAUAUACAUGUGUGUAUGUUGAUCCAUAUAUCUACCUACACAUAAACAAACACCUGUUACACAGAACUUU
rnacentral:lncRNA from 9 species